GGGUUGUGAGGUUAAGCGACUAAGCGUACACGGUGGAUGCCCUGGCAGUCAGAGGCGAUGAAGGACGUGCUAAUCUGCGAAAAGCGUCGGUAAGGUGAUAUGAACCGUUAUAACCGGCGAUGUCCGAAUGGGGAAACCCAGUGCAAUUCGUUGCACUAUCGUUAACUGAAUACAUAGGUUAACGAGGCGAACCGGGGGAACUGAAACAUCUAAGUACCCCGAGGAAAAGAAAUCAACCGAGAUUCCCCCAGUAGCGGCGAGCGAACGGGGAGCAGCCCAGAGUCUGAAUCAGCUUGUGUGUUAGUGGAACGGUCUGGAAAGUCCGACGGUACAGGGUGAUAGUCCCGUACACCAAAAUGCACAGGCUGUGAACUCGAAGAGUAGGGCGGGACACGUGGUAUCCUGUCUGAAUAUGGGGGGACCAUCCUCCAAGGCUAAAUACUCCUGACUGACCGAUAGUGAACCAGUACCGUGAGGGAAAGGCGAAAAGAACCCCGGCGAGGGGAGUGAAAAAGAACCUGAAACCGUGUACGUACAAGCAGUGGGAGCACCUUCGGGUGUGACUGCGUACCUUUUGUAUAAUGGGUCAGCGACUUAUAUUCUGUAGCAAGGUUAACCGUAUAGGGGAGCCGCAGGGAAACCGAGUCUUAACUGGGCGUUAAGUUGCAGGGUAUAGACCCGAAACCCGGUGAUCUAGCCAUGGGCAGGUUGAAGGUUGGGUAACACUAACUGGAGGACCGAACCGACUAAUGUUGAAAAAUUAGCGGAUGACUUGUGGCUGGGGGUGAAAGGCCAAUCAAACCGGGAGAUAGCUGGUUCUCCCCGAAAGCUAUUUAGGUAGCGCCUCGUGAAUUCAUCUUCGGGGGUAGAGCACUGUUUCGGCUAGGGGGUCAUCCCGACUUACCAACCCGAUGCAAACUACGAAUACCGAAGAAUGUUAUCACGGGAGACACACGGCGGGUGCUAACGUCCGUCGUGAAGAGGGAAACAACCCAGACCGCCAGCUAAGGUCCCAAAGUCAUGGUUAAGUGGGAAACGAUGUGGGAAGGCACAGACAGCCAGGAUGUUGGCUUAGAAGCAGCCAUCAUUUAAAGAAAGCGUAAUAGCUCACUGGUCGAGUCGGCCUGCGCGGAAGAUGUAACGGGGCUAAACCAUGCACCGAAGCUGCGGCAGCGACACUAUGUGUUGUUGGGUAGGGGAGCGUUCUGUAAGCCUGCGAAGGUGGCCUGUGAGGGUUGCUGGAGGUAUCAGAAGUGCGAAUGCUGACAUAAGUAACGAUAAAGCGGGUGAAAAGCCCGCUCGCCGGAAGACCAAGGGUUCCUGUCCAACGUUAAUCGGGGCAGGGUGAGUCGACCCCUAAGGCGAGGCCGAAAGGCGUAGUCGAUGGGAAACAGGUUAAUAUUCCUGUACUUGGUGUUACUGCGAAGGGGGGACGGAGAAGGCUAUGUUAGCCGGGCGACGGUUGUCCCGGUUUAAGCAUGUAGGCUGGUUAUCCAGGCAAAUCCGGAUAAUCAAGGCUGAGGUGUGAUGACGAGGCACUACGGUGCUGAAGUAACAAAUGCCCUGCUUCCAGGAAAAGCCUCUAAGCAUCAGGUAACAUCAAAUCGUACCCCAAACCGACACAGGUGGUCAGGUAGAGAAUACCAAGGCGCUUGAGAGAACUCGGGUGAAGGAACUAGGCAAAAUGGUGCCGUAACUUCGGGAGAAGGCACGCUGGUGUGUAGGUGAAGCCCCUGCGGGUGGAGCUGAGACCAGUCGAAGAUACCAGCUGGCUGCAACUGUUUAUUAAAAACACAGCACUGUGCAAACACGAAAGUGGACGUAUACGGUGUGACGCCUGCCCGGUGCCGGAAGGUUAAUUGAUGGGGUUAUCCGUAAGGAGAAGCUCUUGAUCGAAGCCCCGGUAAACGGCGGCCGUAACUAUAACGGUCCUAAGGUAGCGAAAUUCCUUGUCGGGUAAGUUCCGACCUGCACGAAUGGCGUAAUGAUGGCCAGGCUGUCUCCACCCGAGACUCAGUGAAAUUGAACUCGCUGUGAAGAUGCAGUGUACCCGCGGCAAGACGGAAAGACCCCGUGAACCUUUACUAUAGCUUGACACUGAACAUUGAGCCUUGAUGUGUAGGAUAGGUGGGAGGCUUUGAAGCGUGGACGCCAGUCUGCGUGGAGCCAACCUUGAAAUACCACCCUUUAAUGUUUGAUGUUCUAACGUUGGCCCCUGACCGGGGUUGCGGACAGUGUCUGGUGGGUAGUUUGACUGGGGCGGUCUCCUCCCAAAGCGUAACGGAGGAGCACGAAGGUUAGCUAAUCCUGGUCGGACAUCAGGAGGUUAGUGCAAUGGCAUAAGCUAGCUUGACUGCGAGCGUGACGGCGCGAGCAGGUGCGAAAGCAGGUCAUAGUGAUCCGGUGGUUCUGAAUGGAAGGGCCAUCGCUCAACGGAUAAAAGGUACUCCGGGGAUAACAGGCUGAUACCGCCCAAGAGUUCAUAUCGACGGCGGUGUUUGGCACCUCGAUGUCGGCUCAUCACAUCCUGGGGCUGAAGUAGGUCCCAAGGGUAUGGCUGUUCGCCAUUUAAAGUGGUACGCGAGCUGGGUUUAGAACGUCGUGAGACAGUUCGGUCCCUAUCUGCCGUGGGCGCUGGAGAAUUGAGGGGGGCUGCUCCUAGUACGAGAGGACCGGAGUGGACGCAUCACUGGUGUUCGGGUUGUCAUGCCAAUGGCACUGCCCGGUAGCUAAAUGCGGAAGAGAUAAGUGCUGAAAGCAUCUAAGCACGAAACUUGCCCCGAGAUGAGUUCUCCCUGAGACUUUAAGUUUCCUGAAGGAACGUUAAAGACGAUGACGUUGAUAGGCCGGGUGUGUAAGCGCAGCGAUGCGUUGAGCUAACCGGUACUAAUGAACCGUGAGGCUUAACCUUACAACGCCGAAG
rnacentral:rRNA from 1 species